rnacentral:lncRNA from 1 species
GUUCGUCACUUGAGGAAACUAUAUUAACUCUGGUGCUAAACACAUCAUUUGGUGUAUCAAGAGGUUGGGAAGACAGAAAAGGAAGAGAAUACUACAUAAGAAUUAUGUGUGGCUUGAAUUCUUA